AUGAUUGUGCGGGGAGAGAGCGUGUAGACGCCACCGAAGGAGCAAGUAGCAAAGGGCUAUGAAUCUCUCAGGUAAAAGGACUCGUACAAGACG
rfam:Lysinibacillus contaminans strain DSM 25560 Scaffold1, whole genome shotgun sequence.